UUGGUAAUUCUGAGCUAAUACAUGCACACAGAGUCCCCGACCGCAAGGGAGGGGCGCUUUUAUUAGUCCAAAACCGGUCGGGCCUCGGUCCGUAACCCACCUGUGGUGAAUCUGAAUAACUUUGAGCUGAGCGCACGGUCUCCGCACUGGCGCCGCAUCUUUCAAGUGUCUGCCUUAUCAGCUUUCGAUUGUAGGUUAUUCGCCUACAAUGGCUAUAACGGGUAACGGGGAAUCAGGGUUCGAUUCCGGAGAGGGAGCCUGAGAAACGGCUACCACAUCUAAGGAAGGCAGCAGGCACGUAAAUUACCCAUUCCCAGACUGGGGAGGUAGUGACGAAAAAUAACGAUGCGAGACUCAUCCGAGGCCUCGCAAUCGGAAUGAGUACACUUUAAAUCCUUUAACGAGGACCCAUUGGAGGGCAAGUCUGGUGCCAGCAGCCGCGGUAAUUCCAGCUCCAAUAGCGUAUAUUAAAGUUUGUUGC
rnacentral:rRNA from 1 species